UACGAAGGGUGCAAGCGUUACUCGGGAUUACUGGGCGUAAAGCGUGCGUAGGUGGUGGUUUAAGUCAGAUGUGAAAGCCCUGGGCUCAACCUGGGAACUGCAUUUGAUACUGGAUCACUAGAGUGCGGUAGAGGAUAGUGGAAUUCCCGGUGUAGCAGUGAAAUGCGUAGAGAUCGGGAGGAACACCAGUGGCGAAGGCGACUAUCUGGACCAGCACUGACACUGAGGCACGAAAGCGUGGGGAGCAAACAGG
rnacentral:rRNA from 1 species